GACGAACGCUGGCGGCGUGCUUAACACAUGCAAGUCGAACGAGUGGCGGACGGGUGAGUAAUGCUUGGGAAUCUAGCUUAUGGAGGGGGAUAACUACGGGAAACUGUAGCUAAUACCGCGUACCAUAGGAUGAGCCCAAGUGGGAUUAGGUAGUUGGUGAGGUAAAGGCUCACCAAGCCGACGAUCUCUAGCUGGUCUGAGAGGAUGACAAGCAACACGGGGACUGAGAAAGGGCCCAGACCCCUAGGGGAGGCAGAAGUGGGGAAUAUUGCGCAAUGGGGGCAACCUGACGCAGCCAUGCCGGGUGAAUGAAGAAGGCCUUCGGGUUGUAAAGUUCUUUCGGUAGCGAGGCGUUAACUAAAGAAGAAGCACCGGCUAACUCCGUGCCAGCAGCCGCGGUAAUC
rnacentral:rRNA from 1 species